rnacentral:rRNA from 1 species
AGAACGAACGCUGGCGGCAGGCCUAACACAUGCAAGUCGAGCGCCCCGCAAGGGGAGCGGCAGACGGGUGAGUAACGCGUGGGAAUCUACCUAGCUCUUCGGAAUAGCUCCGGGAAACUGGAAUUAAUACCGAGUACGCCCUACGGGGGAAAGAUUUAUCGGAGUUAGAUGAGCCCGCGUUGGAUUAGCUAGUUGGUGGGGUAAUGGCCUACCAAGGCGACGAUCCAUAGCUGGUCUGAGAGGAUGAUCAGCCACACUGGGACUGAGACACGGCCCAGACUCCUACGGGAGGCAGCAGUGGGGAAUAUUGGACAAUGGGCGCAAGCCUGAUCCAGCCAUGCCGCGUGAGUGAUGAAGGCCCUAGGGUGUAAAGCUCUUCAGUGGGGAAGAUAAUGACGGUACCCACAGAAGAAGCCCCGGCUAACUUCGUGCCAGCAGCCGC